rnacentral:rRNA from 1 species
GUUGACCUCGGAUCAGGUAGGGAUACCCGCUGAACUUAAGCAUAUCAAUAAGCGGAGGAAAAGAAACCAACAGGGAUUGCCCUAGUAACGGCGAGUGAAGCGGCAACAGCUCAAAUUUGAAAGCUGGCCUUCGGGUCCGCAUUGUAAUUUGUAGAGGAUGCUUUGGGUGAAACGCCAGUCUAAGUUCCUUGGAACAGGACGUCAUAGAGGGUGAGAAUCCCGUAUGUGACUGGAAAUGUUAACCUAUGUAAAGCUCCUUCGACGAGUCGAGUUGUUUGGGAAUGCAGCUCUAAAUGGGAGGUAAAUUUCUUCUAAAGCUAAAUAUUGGCGAGAGACCGAUAGCGCACAAGUAGAGUGAUCGAAAGAUGAAAAGCACUUUGGAAAGAGAGUUAAAAAGCACGUGAAAUUGUUGAAAGGGAAGCGCUUGCAAUCAGACUUGUUUAAACUGUUCGGCCGGUCUUCUGACCGGUUUACUCAGUUUGGACAGGCCAGCAUCAGUUUCGGCGGCCGGAUAAAGGCUCUGGGAAUGUGGCCUUCACUUCGGUGAAGGUGUUAUAGCCCAGGGUGUAAUACGGCCAGCCGGGACUGAGGUCCGCGCU